GCUAUAAUAUUAUUGUUAUGUCGUGAAGGUCCAAAUCUGCUAGCGUCGGGAUUCGUGCAUUGGAGAUCUGAGCAGACUACUAAUGAAUUCGAAGCCGACUGCCAUGUAGAUUAGGGAUAGAGUGAGUUCAGCUUGAAGGCAGUCCUCACGGUCAGAUCCCGUGCGCUAGCUAGGGAGAACGUUCACAUUCGUCAGUCAGAUCGGAGUAUAACAAACUGAGAGAGUGGACACAGACACCAACAGCAGAUUAUCCUCACAGGAUUGCUGCAUCGAGCUUCAAAGCGACCAGAUAAAGAAGCCAGCUUCUGAGAAACGACAUCGUUCCAACACCUUGGGGAUCUAAGCGUCCCGUUUCAUAUCCUAGACGACACCAUUCAUUCCGCAGCCAUCCUGUCCGGGGGCAGUGCGCUGAAAGCGGAAUGAUGGAAACCAUGCUACGCAGCACUAGUAUUAUCCUGGGCCGAAUGAAUGGAACGCACUGGUCACAGCUGAAGGCUCACCUCGCAAUCUUGAUGAUGAUCGUGUGUCUUGUUGAUCUAUGUUCCGCUGCCCCUCACCACGAACGGCCUGAGGAGCACCUCUCCUGGAACAACUUCCUAAAAGGAACCACCUUUGCAACCCACUUCAUUCAUUGCUUGUUUACUGCGUUCGCCGCAAAGAAACGUGACUGGCGCUCAGAUGGUGACAAGUGGUGUUUCGCAUUGACUCAUAUAAUCUUCUGGAUUGUAGGCCACACCACUAUACAUAAUCGUACUGAUAUUGAGCAAGUCUUUGAGGAACAUUAUUGUCAUGUCUCUAUUAGAGCUGGCUAUACGUUUGUGAGCAUUAUUGUUGCAGCCAUAUCCGAUGUGUAAGUAGUGUGCAUGUACAAACAAACGCAUUUUUAAAUGAUUGCUUGUACAGGCAAGUACAUACAUGUACUUGUACUUGUAGGAUUUAGCUUGCUUUUAUGUUGCUACAAAUACCAGGUUCACGCCUGAUAAAUUAUUCUGUCAAUGGAAUGUUUCUUUUAUGAUGCAUCCCAGCAAGUCCA